rnacentral:snoRNA from 13 species
AGCACUAUAUUUAAGCCUAUGGACAGGAAUCUUCCCCAUUCUUGGUUACACUGUGAAGCAAAAGAAUUCCUGGUUUUCUCUUGCACAGCUGACUUGUACCAUUCUGGUGUUCAAUGGAGUUAAGGAGCUUUA